rnacentral:lncRNA from 10 species
GGGCCCGGCAGCUACAUUUACAAUACAAACGUUGUACAUCUGCCCCUCUGAUAUGGUUUGGCUGUGUUCCCACACAAAUCUCAACUUGAAUUGUGUCUCCCAGAAUUCCCACGUAUUGUGGGAGGGACCCAGGAAGAGGUAAGUGAAUCAUGGGGGCUGGUCUUUCCCGUGCUAUUCUCGUGAUAGUGAAUAAGUCUCACGAGCUCUGAUGUGUUUAUCAGGGGUUUCUGCUUUUGCUUCUUCCUCAUUUUUCUCUUGCUGCCACCACGUAAGAAGUGCCUUUUGCCUCCCACCAUUAUUCUGAGGCCUCCUCAGCCAUGUGGAACUGAUGACACAUCUAGAAGACCCUCACCUUAUGCUUAUGCUGGCCCCUUGAUCUUGGCCUCCAGAAAUGUAUAAUGAAGAAUCUUGAGGUCCUCCUGGAUUACCAAAGUGGGCCCUAAAUCCAGUGGCAGAAGACACAGACACAGAGAGGAGACCAGGUGAAGACAAAAGAAGAGGCUGGAGUGAUGCAACCAUCAGAGAGUGAAAAUACUCAGUUACCUCCUGGUUUAUGAGGCAAUGAAGUAUUCCAGCACAUAAAUAUUGACGCUGAGACCCAUGGGAUGUAGGAGUGCUGAGCACAUUUGCAAGACAUAAAGACCGAAGUGUGUGUGGUAUCUAGAUGAGAUGCAUGGUGAUGACUGGAGACUGGGCGUGAUGAAUGACUUAGGAAACCUCUGGAGGGUGCCUGCUUUGUGGCCAUAAACCACUGUGCCCAUGUGGAAAACACUGCAGUCCUGGGGCAGAAGAUAAACUUCAUGCUUGAUAAAAAAAAAAAAAACAACCAAAAGAGGUGAAUCACUUCAAAGAGAAGGACCAGAUUCUCAUGGACCCCACUGCCAUGCUGGCCAGACAUCUUGCUGCCAUUGUUUUCCUGUUAUUUACUCCCAAACAGAUGGAGUGUCGCUCUGUCACCCAGGCUGGAGUGCAGUGGCACGAUCUCGGCUUACUGCAAGAUCUACCUCCCGGGUUCACGCCAUUCUCCUGCCUCAGCCUCCCGAGUAGCUGGGACUACAGGCGUCCGCCACCACGCCCGGCUAAUUUUUUGUUUUUUUUAGUAUAGACGGGGUUUCACCGUGUUAGCCAGGAUGGUCUCAAUCUCCUGACCUCGUGACCCGCCCGCCUUGGCCUCCCAAAGUGAAGUCUCUUUUCAAAAUCUUAAUGCUUACCUGUGUUUCUUUUAUGAGGAACGUCACGGAAUCAAGAGUUUUUGUCUUCAUUCUUAUUAACUUGUAAAAAUUCUAAGUUAAAGACAUAACCCUUUGUUGUAUUUGUUGUAAAUAUUUUGAAAAUUUGAUGUUUCUCUUUACAUUUUGUUUUCGUGACUUUUUCAAGUCUAAUAUUUAGGUAUAAUGGACGUAUGCCCAUUAAACCUGUGACUUCCUUUUAUUAGUCUUCUAGCCAUAGUAUUCUGCUUAGAAAGAUUUAGCCCAAAUUUUUAAAAAUAUUCUCCUUCUUAUUCAUCUUGUUAUUUUUUAUUGUUAUGUUCUAAUUCAUAUUUAAUAAUUUUGGUAUGCAUGAUAUGCAUCUCUGUCAUACCAAAUGGAGGAUUAAUUGUCCCUGAAUUUACGUGGACUUAGCCCUCAGUCUAUAUAAUUUCCUUCCUAAUCUUCAGCAUAAAUCCAUACCUCAUACUGUUUCUGUAAAAUACUUGUCUUCUCUGUUUCAUCCAUUAUUAUGAUUCACAUCUUAUUUGGCCAAAUUUAAUUCUUAAGCAACUCUUUUCAGAAUAACAUGAUUGGUAUUAUACCUUCUGAGCCUUUAAUGACCAAUAUAGGUUUUUUUUUCCCUCAGAGAUGAAGAAUAGGUUAAAUAUGCCAGAAUUUCCUAAAUACUCCACUGACUCUCCAAUGAGAUUUUAACAUAUUUUAAAGUAGAAGGGGCACUGUUGUCCAAUAAAUUUGGGAAAGUGUGUUAACAGAAUUAAAACUCUUUUUGAUGUGUGCGUUUACGUUUGAAUUUAUUGCAGGGUUUCUCAGAGCUCUUAAUAAAACGUGGUGUUUUAUGUUUUUCUAGGAAAUAAAUGUAAUAUAUAUUACAUUUAUAAGUACGCAUAAAGUAGGCAUAAGAUAGGGACUCCCCUCCACUUCAGACUGGGCAAAUAGGAAGACCCCAAGUGUAUAUACGGAAG